CUGCUGCCUUCCGUAGGAGUCUGGGCCGUGUCUCAGUCCCAAUGUGGCCGUCCACUCUCUCAAGCCGGCUACUGAUCGUCGCCUUGGUGAGCCGUUACCUCACCAACCAGCUAAUCAGACGCGGGUCCAUCCCAUAGCGAUAAAUCUUUGAAGAAAAGAACAUGCGCUCUCUCCUUGUUAUGCGGUAUUAGCAGCCGUUUCCAGCUGUUGUCCCCCUCUAUGGGGCAGGUUGCCCACGCGUUACU
rnacentral:rRNA from 1 species